rnacentral:rRNA from 1 species
AGAGUUUGAUCCUGGCUCAGAACGAACGCUGGCGGCGUGGUUUAGGCAUGCAAGUCGUACGAUCUUAGGAUAGUGGCAAAAGGGUGAGUAACACGUGGGUAAUUUACCUUUAUGUUGGGAAUAACACCUCGAAAGAGAUGCUAAUACCGAAUGUGGCUACAGAAACGUAUGUUUUUGUGGUUAAAGUCGGGGAUCCGCAAGGACCUGACACUUAGGGAUAAGCCCGCGUCCUAUCAGCUUGUUGGUGAGGUAAUGGCUCACCAAGGCAUUUGACGGGUAGCUGGUCUGAGAGGAUGGUCAGCCACACUGGGACUGAGACACUGCCCAGACCCCUACGGGAGGCUGCAGUCGAGAAUCUUUCGCAAUGGGGGAAACCCUGACGAAGCGACGCCGCGUGGGCGAUGAAGGCCUUCGGGUUGUAAAGCCCUGUCACGAGGGGCGAACACACAAUGGUUAAUAGCCUGAGUGU